rnacentral:rRNA from 1 species
AACGAACGCUGGCGGCAGGCUUAACACAUGCAAGUCGAGCGAGACCUUCGGGUCUAGCGGCGGACGGGUGAGUAACGCGUGGGAACGUGCCCUUCUCUACGGAAUAGCCCCGGGAAACUGGGAGUAAUACCGUAUACGCCCUUUGGGGGAAAGAUUUAUCGGAGAAGGAUCGGCCCGCGUUGGAUUAGGUAGUUGGUGGGGUAAUGGCCCACCAAGCCGACGAUCCAUAGCUGGUUUGAGGGGAUGAUCAGCCACACUGGGACUGAGACACGGCCCAGACUCCUACGGGAGGCAGCAGUGGGGAAUCUUAGACAAUGGGGGCAACCCUGAUCUAGCCAUGCCGCGUGAGUGAUGAAGGCCUUAGGGUUGUAAAGCUCUUUCAGCUGGGAAGAUAAUGACGGUACCAGCAGAAGAAGCCCCGGCUAACUCCGUG